rnacentral:rRNA from 1 species
UUGAAGGCUGGAAUGAAUGGUUGGACAAGAAAUAAGCUGUCUUAAAUAAAAAUAUUGAACUUAACUUUUAAGUGAAAAGGCUUAAAUUUUCUAAAGGGACGAUAAGACCCUAUAAAACUUUAUAUUUAAAAGUAAUUGCAAUUAUUAUUUAAAGAUUUUAUUUUUAAAUAUUUUAUUGGGGUGAUAAGGAUAAAAUAUAAGACAACUGUCUUUUAUUUUAACAAUAAUUUUUGAGUAAAUGAUCUUAGUAAAGGAAUAAAAGAUUAAGUUACUUUAGGGAUAACAGCGUAAUUUUCUUUGAGAGUUCUUAUCGACAAGAAAGUUUGCGACCUCGAUGUUGAAUUAAAAGUUCUUUAUAGAGUAGAGACUAUAUUAGAAGG